rnacentral:rRNA from 1 species
UGGGGAAUUUUGGACAAUGGGCGAAAGCCUGAUCCAGCAAUGCCGCGUGUGUGAAGAAGGCCUUCGGGUUGUAAAGCACUUUUGUCCGGAAAGAAAUCCUUGGCUCUAAUACAGUCGGGGGAUGACGGUACCGGAAGAAUAAGCACCGGCUAACUACGUGCCAGCAGCCGCGGUAAUACGUAGGGUGCAAGCGUUAAUCGGAAUUACUGGGCGUAAAGCGUGCGCAGGCGGUUUGCUAAGACCGAUGUGAAAUCCCCGGGCUCAACCUGGGAACUGCAUUGGUGACUGGCAGGCUAGAGUAUGGCAGAGGGGGGUAGAAUUCCACGUGUAGCAGUGAAAUGCGUAGAGAUGUGGAGGAAUACCGAUGGCGAAGGCAGCCCCCUGGGCCAAUACUGACGCUCAUGCACGAAAGCGUGGGGAGCAAACAGGAUUAGAUACCCUGGUAGUCCACGCCCUAAACGAUGGCAACUAGUUGUUGGGGAUUCAUUUUCCUUAGUAACGUGCUAACGCGUGAAGUUGACCGCCUGGGGAGUACGGUCGCAAGAUUAAAACUUAAAUGAAUUGACGGGGUCAUAGCUGUUUCCU